UCACUUACCUGGACGGGGUCAAUGGGUGAUCAAGAAGGUCCAUGGCCUAGGUUGGUGACCUCCAUUGCACUUAGGAGGGGUGCCCGCCUAAGGUCGGCCCAAGUGGUCGAGCCUACGUCAUAAUUUGUGGCAGUGGAGGCCUGUGUUCGCGCGGCCUCUU
rnacentral:snRNA from 2 species